AUUGAACGCUGGCGGAAUGCUUUACACAUGCAAGUCGAACGGCAGCACGGACUUCGGUCUGGUGGCGAGUGGCGAACGGGUGAGUAAUACAUCGGAACGUGCCCAAUCGUGGGGGAUAACGUAGCGAAAGCUACGCUAAUACCGCAUACGAUCUAAGGAUGAAAGCGGGGGAUCGCAAGACCUCGCGCGAUUGGAGCGGCCGAUGGCAGAUUAGGUAGUUGGUAGGGUAAAGGCCUACCAAGCCGACGAUCUGUAGCUGGUCUGAGAGGAUGAUCAGCCACACUGGGACUGAGACACGGCCCAGACUCCUACGGGAGGCAGUAGUGGGGAAUUUUGGACAAUGGACGCAAGUCUGAUCCAGCCAUUCCGCGUGCAGGAUGAAGGCCCUCGGGUUGUAAACUGCUUUUGUACAGAACGAAAAGGCUCUGGUUAAUACCUAUGGCUCAUGACGGUACUGUAAGAAUAAGCACCGGAUAACUACGUGCCAGCCGCCGCCGUAA
rnacentral:rRNA from 1 species